UACGUAGGCAGCAAGCGUUGUUCGGAAUUACUGGGCGUAAAGAGUGUGUAGGCGGUGCUCCAAGUCUGGUGUGAAAUCUCCCGGCUCAACUGGGAGGGUGCGCUAGAAACUGGAAUGCUAGAGGAUGGGAGAGGUAAGCGGAAUUCCUGGUGUAGCGGUGAAAUGCGUAGAUAUCAGGAAGAACACCCGUGGCUAAGGCGGCUCUCUAGUACGGUACUGACGCUGAGACGCGAAAGCGUGGGGAGCGAACAGG
rnacentral:rRNA from 1 species